rnacentral:rRNA from 1 species
UUUCCCGCGCUUGUGUAGGACUGCCGAAGGCUACUGCGAAGGGGAGGUCGAUUAGCCAUGCGAGUCUAGGGAUCUUCGGAUCCUGGCGUAAUGCUCAGUAACACGUGGAUAAUCUACCCUCAGGUGGGGCAUAAACCCGGGAAACUGGGGCCAAUUCCCCAUAAAUACAGAUGGCUGGAAUGCUUCUGUAUUCAAAGCUCCGGCGCCUGAGGAUGAGUCUGCGGCCUAUCAGGUUGUAGUCAGGGUCAAGACCUGACUAGCCAGCGACGGGUAUGGGGUGUGAGAGCACUUGCCCAGAGAUGGUUUCUGAGACACGAAACCAGGCCCUACGGGGCGCAGCAGGCGCGAAAACUUCGCAAUGCGGGAAGCCGUGACGAGGGAACUCCGAGUGUCUAUGCAUUGCAUAGACUGUUUUUUAGCCUAAAUAGCUAUUAGAGUAAGGGGUGGGCAAGACCGGUGCCAGCCGCCGCGGUAACACCGGCACCCCGAGUGGUAGCCACUAUUAUUGGGCCUAAAGCGUUCGUAACCGGUUUGGUAAAUUCUUGGGUAAAUCGUACCGCUCAACGGUGCGGAUUCCGGGGACACUACCAGACUUGAGACCGGGGGAGAUCAGAGGUACUUGCGGGGGAGCGGUGAAAUGUUGUAAUCCCGCAGGGACCACCAGUGGCGAAGGCGUCUGAUCAGAACGGCUCUGACGGUGAGGAACGAAACCCUGGGGCGCAAACGGGAUUAGAUACCCCGGUAGUCCAGGGCGUAACGCUGCUGACUUGGUGUUGGGGAUCCUACGAGGAUGUCCAGUGCUGGCGCGAAGGUAUUAAGUCAGCCGCCUGGGGAGUACGGUCGCAAGACUGAAACUUAGAGAAUGGCGGAGAGCACUGCAACGAGGCGGAGCGUGCGGGUUUAAUUUGGAAUCCAAACCGGCCAGGAGA